rnacentral:rRNA from 1 species
CCGUCGUCAGUUCGUACCGUAAGGCGUUCUGUUAAGUCAGAUAACGAACGAGACCCUCGCCCUUAAUUGCUAGUUCAUUCUCUGGAAUGGGCGCACAUUAAGGGGACCGCUAGCGCUAAGCCAGAGGAAGGGGAGGUCAACGGUAGGUCAGUAUGCCCCGAAUCUCCCGGGCUACACGCGCGCUACAAAGGACGGGACAAUGGGCUGCGACACCGAGAGGUGAAGCCAAUCCCGAAACCUGUUCGUAGUUCGGAUCGAGGGCUGUAACUCGCCCUCACGAAGCUGGGAUCCGUAGUAAUCGCGGAUCAACAUCCCGCGGUGAAUAUGCCCCUGCUCCUUGCACACACCGCCCGUCAAACCAUGCGAGUUGGGUCUAAGUGAGGAUGUAGUUUUUGCUGCGUUCAAACUUAGGCUUAGCAAGCGGGGUCAACGUCGUAACAA